rnacentral:lncRNA from 1 species
GUUCUCUCAUCUUUCCUCAGUCUUUCCUUCUUUCUUUGUGUGGUGCCUUGUGCCUUAGCGUGCUCAUUCUUGACAGUAUUGCCUGCAUGGGGUGCUCUGGAGUGCUGUCUUUUGAAGUGAGCAGAGAUAUAUUUGAGAGAAUUCUUGGAAAACAGGUUGUGGAGAAGAUAUUAAUUAUUUCAAAACAUUUCCAAUCUCCCUUCAUUCCCCUGAAAUCCUUCUGAAACUUUGCAAAUGAUUGAUAUGGCCACCAAAUUUACUGAAGUAUUUCUCAUCUAAUCCUAAACUGUUUACAUCUUAUUGAUGACAAAUGACACUUCUUAAUUUUUGUUUUGAAGAAAUUAUUUGAUCAGUAUAAGCAAACUACUGAACAAUCCCCCAACUUUUCUGUUCUUCAAGUCACUGAGAAAUUCUCCCACCUCUCUUUUGGAUUGCUGACACAAAUGUUGAUUUCUAAUAUGGGUAAAAGAUUGUUUGUUAGCAUGUAGAUACCCCUGGUUGAUAGCCACAAUAAUAGUUAUGCUUUAGCAAUGUAAGCAAUAGUUAAAACUGUGUUUGCUUUGAUUUUGGGCACAUAGAACCUCACAGAAUAAACAAGAAACACAAAGCUGAAACUAACAGAAAAAGCCAGAGAAGUAAAAAGAAUACGUGUCCUCAAAAAGGUUUUGUCUUUUUAUCUUAAGGUUCAUCAACCUUAAGUUUCCAAGGCACUCAAAACUGGAGGUUAAUGGCCAACUCAUACACCUCUUUUCAUUGCCCUGAACACUUGAUCCAUCUAAAGUUCCCAUAUCAACAGACCAAGAGCUUGCGAUUCAGCCUUGCAGUCUUUAUAGCUGUUUGGCCACACAGUUACUAUGUGCACUGUGAAAGGAUAAAUGGAUAUUUGGAUAAUGCGGCAAAACAUUUUGGAGUCCAUCAGUUACUCUUUCUGAAGAGGUGGAGAUCUCUGCCCUGGUCAGGCCUCACCUGGAGUACUGUAUCCAGUUCUGGGCUCCCUGGUACAAAAAAGACAGGGAUCUCCUGGAAAGAGUCCAGCGGAGGGCCACAAAGAUUAUACGGGGCCUGGAGCAUCUUCCCUAUGAAGAAAGGCUGAGAGACAUGGGUCUGUUCAGCCUUGAGAACGCUGAGAGGGGAUCUUAUUAAUGUUUGCAAAUACGUUAAGUCUGGGGAGACAGAGGGAUUUUGCCAACUUCUUUUCAGUGGUUUGUGGGAACAAGACAAGGGGCAAUGGCCACAAAAUGGAGCACAGGAAGUUCCGCACCAACAUGUGAAAGAACUUCUUCACGGUGAGGGUGACAGAACACUGGAUCAGGCUGCCCAGGGAGAUUGUGGAGUCUCCUCUGGAGAUAUUCAUCCAUCUGGAUGCCUACCUUGGCAACCUCCUUUAGAGAACCUGCUUUGGCAGGGGGUUGGACCCAAUGAUCUCUUGAGGUCCCUUCCAACCCCUUCAGUUCUGUGAUUCUGUGAUUCUAUGAUCUUCGGAAUUUGAAAUGGUCAUAGCAAUAGUGACUAUAAAAAAAAAAUAAUAAAAAAAUAAUAAAAAUUAAGGGCUUUAGUACA